GCCUGAAUCCACCCUUGCUUUGUGGGUCAGUGCUUCUGGCUGCUAACCAGAAGGUUGGUGGUUUGAACCCACCCAGGGACG